CUCCUACGGGAGGCAGCAGUAGGGAAUCUUGCGCAAUGGGCGAAAGCCUGACGCAGCGACACCGUGUGAAGGAUGAAGGCCUUCGGGUCGUAAACUUCUGUCAAUCGGGGACGAAGGUAGUAGGGUUAAUACCCCGAAUACUGACGGCACCCGAUAAGGAAGUCUCGGCUAACUCCGUGCCAGCAGCCGCGGUAAGACGGAGGAGGCAAGCGUUGUCCGGAAUCAUUGGGCGUAAAGAGCGCGUAGGCUGUUUUUCAAGUCAUAUGUGAAAACCUCAGGCUCAACUUGAGGAUUGCAUAUGAAACUGAUUAACUUGAGUGCAGUAGGGGAAAGUGGAAUUCCUGGUGUAGCGGUGAAAUGCGCAGAUAUCAGGAAGAACACCGGUAGCGAAGGCGGCUUUCUGGGCUGCUACUGACGCUGAGGCGCGAAAGCUAGGGGAGCAAACAGGAUUAGAUACCCCG
rnacentral:rRNA from 1 species